rnacentral:rRNA from 1 species
GAUGAACGCUGGCGGCGUGCCUAAUACAUGCAAGUCGAGCGAACAGACGAGGAGCUUGCUCCUCUGACGUUAGCGGCGGACGGGUGAGUAACACGUGGAUAACCUACCUAUAAGACUGGGAUAACUUCGGGAAACCGGAGCUAAUACCGGAUAAUAUAUUGAACCGCAUGGUUCAAUAGUGAAAGACGGUUUUGCUGUCACUUAUAGAUGGAUCCGCGCCGCAUUAGCUAGUUGGUAAGGUAACGGCUUACCAAGGCAACGAUGCGUAGCCGACCUGAGAGGGUGAUCGGCCACACUGGAACUGAGACACGGUCCAGACUCCUACGGGAGGCAGUAGUAGGGAAUCUUCCGCAAUGGGCGAAAGCCUGACGGAGCAACGCCGCGUGAAUGAUGAAGGUCUUCGGAUCGUAAAACUCUGUUAUUAGGGAAGAACAAAUGUGUAAGUAACUAUGCACGUCUUGACGGUACCUAAUCAGAAAGCCACGGCUAACUACGUG